GCCCUCGGUGGCUCAGACGGAUAGAGCGUCUGCCCUGUAAGCAGGAGAGCCCGGGUUCGAGUUCCGGUCGGGGCA